GACGAACGCUGGCGGCGUGCUUAACACAUGCAAGUCGAACGAUGAACCGGAGCUUGCUCUGGGGAUUAGUGGUGAACGGGUGAGUAACACGUGGGCAACCUGCCCCAGACACCGGGAUAACCAUUGGAAACGAUGGCUAAUACCGGAUACGACCACUUCGGGCAUCCGAUGGUGGUGGAAAGGAUUCUGGUCUGGGAUGGGCCCGCGGCCUAUCAGCUUGUUGGUGGGGUAAUGGCCUACCAAGGCGACGACGGGUAGCCGGCCUGAGAGGGCGACAGGCCACACUGGGACUGAGACACGGCCCAGACUCCUACGGGAGGCAGCAGUGGGGAAUAUUGCGCAAUGGGCGAAAGCCUGACGCAGCGACGCCGCGUGAGGGACGAAGGUCUUCGGAUUGUAAACCUCUUUCAGCAGGGAUGAAGCGAAAGUGACAGUACCUGCAGAAGAAGCACCGGCUAACUACGUGCCAGCAGCCGCAGUAAGAC
rnacentral:rRNA from 1 species